CGGACGGGUGAGUAAUGUAUGGGGAUCUGCCUGAUGGCGGGGGAUAACUACUGGAACGGUAGCUAAUACCGCAUAAUGUCUGCGGACCAAAGCGGGGGACCUCCGGGCCUCGCGCCAUCAGAUGAACCCAUAUGGGAUUAGCUAGUAGGUAAGGUAACGGCUUACCUAGGCGACGAUCCCUAGCUGGUCUGAGAGGAUGACCAGCCACACUGGAACUGAGACACGGUCCAG
rnacentral:rRNA from 1 species